rnacentral:rRNA from 1 species
AUGGUUAAAGAAGAAAACAGGGGUUCUGUUGAAUUUCAAGUAUUCAGUUUCACCAAUAAGAUACGGAGACUUGCUUCACAUUUAGAAUUACACAAAAAAAAUCAUCAGAAAGAGGUCUGCGAGACUUUUGGGAAAACGUCGACAUAUGCUGGCUUAUUUGGCAAAGAAAAAUAG